rfam:Janibacter indicus strain YFY001, complete genome.
GGUCUUGAGCGCCAGCGCGAAGCCCCGGCUCGCUGGCCGGCAACCCUCCUCCGCGGUGGGGUGCCCCGGGAGACGACCUGGUCCGCGACGACCGUCGCGGUCAAGCGCGCACA